GGUUGAAGUCCAUUUGGAGGCGUGCAGCUGUUAAACUUCUGCACUUCUCACUGGGAAAACAGCAUAGGCCACUCUAAUAAGUAAUGGAGAUUCCAGUAUUCAUUGUUGAUGCAUUUACCAAUUUACCUUUCAAAGGAAAUCCUGCAGCAGUUUGUCCCCUUUUACAUGAAUUGCAGGAUGAUAUGUACCAGAAGAUUGCUGCUGAGAUGAACCUGUCAGAGACUGCCUUCAUCAUAAGGCUAAAUUCAAAAGAUGACUUCAGCUCAGGAGCACGCUUCCGCUUGCGUUGGUUCAGCCCCACCAAUGAGGUUCCUCUGUGUGGACAUGCCACCCUAGCUUCAGCUGCUGUACUGUUUUACAAAAAAAAAAAUGUCAACGCAACAGUGGUAUUUGAGACUUUGAGUGGAGAGCUGUAUGUGCAACAACAGGGGGAAUCUAUAGUGAUGGAUUUCCCUCUGAACAAACCUACUCCGCUGGGUCUCAAUGAAUUUAAAGACAUAGUUAAUGCUGCUGUGGGAGACCAGCCGGUUCGAGAAGUGUGCCUCUGUGGCACCACCAAAAAGCUAAUGGUGCGCCUUGCUGACACUUGUGACAGGUCAGUGCUCACAUCCCUGCAGCCAGACCCAGCAGUUCUUCUCCAUGUAAACACUGGAGGAAGGGUUAGGGGUCUGAUUGUCACCAUGAUUGGAGCCCCUGGCUGUCAGCCUGGCUAUGACUUCUACUCCAGAAACUUCUCCCCCUGGUUUGGGAUUCCUGAGGACCCUGUGACUGGUUCUGCACAUACUGUCCUUGCAGGCUACUGGUCUGAGAAACUGGGCAAGAAAAAGAUGCUGGGUGGGUAACAGUGGAGGCUGCUCAGGGGAGGACGGCUCAUGACAACAGCUGGAACCGCACAAAUGGAAUGGCAUCAAACACGUGGAAACCAUGUGAUUGAUACCAUUCCACUUACUCCGCUCCAGCCAUUACCACAAGCCCGUUCUCCCCAAUUAAGGUGCCACCAACCUUCUGCGCCUAUCAGUGCUCCAGUCGUGGUGGGGAGUUGGAGCUGGAACUACGGGAUGAUGGCAGACUGAAUAUCGCUGGCCAGGCUGUAACCGUCCUGCAAGGGAUUCUAACUGUGUAGAGGCUACACUGUUCACGUCGACCUAGCCAAAUAAUCUGUAGACCUAGCUGUGGCUACAGAUUAUUUGAGUUUGAGAUUAACAAUUUGAUACAAUGGAAUUGUCAUUUAACAGAUGCUGUUAUCCAGAGCGAUUUACAGGUUUGGGUUAAGUGCCAUGCCAAGGGCACAGGCAGACUUUUCACCAAGUUGGCUCAGGUUUCAAACCAGCGACUUUUCAGUUACUGGCCCAACUGUCUUUAACCGCUAGUCUACCUGCCGCUCUAGUGAACACUCGGCAUACAAUCCUCACCAUUUGUAUUUGGACUUGAGAUUUGGAUUUGAGAUCAAGUUUUGAGUAGGAGGCGAGAAUACAGAAUGUCACUUAAUGUGAGGGUAUUUUCAUACAUAUUGGUUGCAACACCAUAUACACAGAGCGUUGCCAUUCUUAAAAUUACUUAUUUUGGUGUUCAAACUUUUGUUCAUGUUUUAUCUAAACUCUGGCACUGCAACAUAAGCAUGAGGAAGUGUAUUGCUGGUUAGGGUAAGUUUCUGAAAAACAAGUGAAAUCGCAAAAAAAAGGAAGUGUCUGUAACCUCCUGUUCUCUACAUGUGACCCCAUGUCUGGACUCCAAAAUGCAGAUUUGGUUCCAAUAAAGAAAACUUCUCAUUCAAUAAGACAAAAGCCCUUCAUGAAUCGUGUCGUCCCAUUUUAAGUCAGAAUUAGAAUUUAUGCUUCAUUUUCCAAAUACAUAUGGUGAGGACUGUAUUUCAACAGUCUGGAAUUUUACUGACAGGGACACAAGGGACACAAAAAUGUACAACACUUAAAAUGAUUUAUUCACAUAGAAAUUUUCAAAAUUAACGUCAAUAUAACAAGUAAAAGCUUGACAAUCAGCACUGGCUCAGAAACAAGACUAAUGAUCAAUCUUAAUCUAACGGAGGUCUGUGAGGCAAUGUCUGAGCAAUUGCUACAUAGCAUAUUUAGUGUAAAUGGUGCCUGUACUUCAACUUUCGAAUGGUCACAUUGUUGUAAUAAAAAUCAUUA